AGUGAACGCUGGCGGUAGGCCUAACACAUGCAAGUCGAACGGCAGCACAGUAAGAGCUUGCUCUUACGGGUGGCGAGUGGCGGACGGGUGAGGAAUACAUCGGAAUCUACUUUUUCGUGGGGGAUAACGUAGGGAAACUUACGCUAAUACAGCAUACGACCUACGGGUGAAAGCAGGGGAUCUUCGGACCUUGCGCGAUUGAAUGAGCCGAUGUCGGAUUAGCUAGUUGGCGGGGUAAAGGCCCACCAAGGCGACGAUCCGUAGCUGGUCUGAGAGGAUGAUCAGCCACACUGGAACUGAGACACGGUCCAGACUCCUACGGGAGGCAGCAGUGGGGAAUAUUGGACAAUGGGCGCAAGCCUGAUCCAGCCAUACCGCGUGAGUGAAGAAGGCCUUCGGAUUGUAAAGCCCUUUUGUUGGGAAAGAAAAGCAGCAGGUUAAUACCCCGCUGUUCUGACGGUACCCAAAGAAUAAGCACCGGCUAACUUCGUG
rnacentral:rRNA from 1 species